UUGGAGGGCAAGUCUGGUGCCAGCAGCCGCGGUAAUUCCAGCUCCAAUAGCGUAUAUUAAAGUUGCUGCAGUUAAAAAGCUCGUAGUUGAAUUUCGGGACUAAUAUGUCGGUCGUGCCUCGGUACGUACUGGCUUAUUGGUUUCUCCUUUCUGAAGAACCAUGAUGUCAUUUAUUUGGUGUUAUGGGGAGUUAGGACUGUUACUUUGAAAAAAUUAGAGUGUUUAAAGCAGGCUUUAGCUUGAAUACAUUAGCAUGGAAUAAUGAAAUAGGACGUUCGAACCUAUUUUGUUGGUUUCUAGGAUCAACGUAAUGAUUAAUAGGGAUAGUUGGGGGCAUUAGUAUUCAAUUGUCAGAGGUGAAAUUCUUGGAUUUAUUGAAGACUAACUACUGCGAAAGCAUUUGCCAAGGAUGUUUUCAUUAAUCAAGAACGAAAGUUAGGGGAUCGAAGACGAUCAGAUACCGUCGUAGUCUUAACCAUAAACUAUGCCGACUAGGGAUCGGAUGAUGUUAAUUUUUUAAUGACUCAUUCGGCGCCUUACGGGAAAC
rnacentral:rRNA from 1 species